AUGAACGCUGGCGGCGUACCUAAUACAUGCAAGUCGAGCGAACAGACGAGGAGCUUGCUCCUCUGACGUUAGCGGCGGACGGGUGAGUAACACGUGGAUAACCUACCUAUAAGACUGGGAUAACUUCGGGAAACCGGAGCUAAUACCGGAUAAUAUAUUGAACCGCAUGGUUCAAUAGUGAAAGACGGUUUUGCUGUCACUUAUAGAUGGAUCCGCGCCGCAUUAGCUAGUUGGUAAGGUAACGGCUUACCAAGGCGACGAUGCGUAGCCGACCUGAGAGGGUGAUCGGCCACACUGGAACUGAGACACGGUCCAGACUCCUACGGGAGGCAGCAGUAGGGAAUCUUCCGCAAUGGGCGAAAGCCUGACGGAGCAACGCCGCGUGAGUGAUGAAGGUCUUCGGAUCGUAAAACUCUGUUAUUAGGGAAGAACAAAUGUGUAAGUAACUAUGCACGUCUUGACGGUACCUAAUCAGAAAGCCACGGCUAACUACGUG
rnacentral:rRNA from 1 species